GGAUUGAUGAUGACUCCUGCAGAUACAUUCUUUGGAAGUUGAACAAAAUGAGUGAAAACCCCAUACCAUCAUUCUCUUCAUUACUGAGGUCC
rnacentral:snoRNA from 14 species